GAUAAACGCUGGCGGCGCACAUAAGACAUGCAAGUUGAACGGACUUAAUCGAAAUAUUUAUAUUUUGAAGCGGUAGUGGCGGACUGGUGAGUAACGCGUAAGGAACCUGCCUAUUAGAGGGGAAUAACAGUGAGAAAUCAUUGCUAAUACCGCAUAUGCCAUAGAUAUCACAUGAUAACAGUGGGAAAGGAGCAAUCCGCUAAUAGAUGGCCUUGCGUCUGAUUAGAUAGUUGGUGGGGUAACGGCCUACCAAGUCGACGAUCAGUAGCCGGACUGAGAGGUUGAACGGCCACAUUGGGACUGAGAUACGGCCCAGACUCCUACGGGAGGCAGCAGUCGGGAAUAUUGCGCAAUGGAGGAAACUCUGACGCAGUGACGCCGCGUAUAGGAAGAAGGUUUUCGGAUUGUAAACUAUUGUCGUUAGGGAAGAGAAAGGACAGUACCUAAGGAGGAAGCUCCGGCUAACUACGUG
rnacentral:rRNA from 1 species